GGCCGGUCCGAUGGCAGUGGGUUAUCAGAACUUAUUAACAUUAGUCCAAUGGCAGUGAGUUAUCAGAAUUUAUUAACAUUAGUGUCACUAAAGUUGGUAUACAACACCCCACUGUUAAAUCUGACUGGCUUUAA
ensembl:misc_RNA Y_RNA Y RNA